ensembl:snRNA U6 U6 spliceosomal RNA
GUGCUCAGUUUGGCAGCACACAUACUAAAAAUGGAAUUCAGAGAGAAGAUCAGCCCGGCCCUAGGCAGGGAUGACACCCAAAUUCGCAAAGUGUUCCAUAUUUUU